rnacentral:rRNA from 1 species
AACGAACGCUGGCGGCAUGCCUAACACAUGCAAGUCGAACGAGACCCUUCGGGUCUAGUGGCGCACGGGUGCGUAACGCGUGGGAACCUGCCUUUAGGUUCGGAAUAACUCAGAGAAAUUUGAGCUAAUACCGGAUAAUGUCUUCGGACCAAAGAUUUAUCGCCUUUAGAUGGGCCCGCGUAAGAUUAGCUAGUUGGUGGGUAAAGGCCUACCAAGGCGACGAUCUUUAGCUGGUCUGAGAGGAUGAUCAGCCACACUGGGACUGAGACACGGCCCAGACUCCUACGGGAGGCAGCAGUGGGAAUAUUGGACAAUGGCGAAAGCCUGAUCCAGCAAUGCCGCGUGAGUGAUGAAGGCCUUAGGGUUGUAAAGCUCUUUUACCCGAGAUGAUAAUGACAGUAU